rnacentral:sRNA from 1 species
GCUGGGUAUGGUGGUGCACACCUGUAAUCCCAGCUACUGUGGAGGCUGAGGCAGGAGAAUUGAAAGUUUAAGGCCUAGUGAGACCUUGUCUCAA